UUCUGGUUGAGAAAUCAGGACACAUAUUUUCAGCUGAAUGUACAUGUGUUGCAGGGGAUGGAUCAUGUAAGCAUGUUGUUGCCCUACUGUUUGGCAUAAUAGAUCACAUCACUUCAAUGGAAGAUCGAAGUUCAAUUGGAGUUACUGAUACUGCAGCAUAUUGGGAUAAACCACGGAAAGUAUGCAGGCCAGUGCCUGUUCAUGACUUAGAUAUCAGGACUGUCGUGAAUGUACCAGAUAAACCACGACCAUCUGAAGAUUCUGGUUAUUUGCCACUUAAGUCUUCAGAUUUUGAUACGGAGUCAUUGGAAAAGAAUAUUGUUCAAGUCCUAAAGAAGAGCAAAA